rnacentral:tRNA from 1 species
AGUAGGGUCAGCUAAAUAUAAAGCUAUCGGGCCCAUACCCCGAAAAUGAUGGUUUAACCCCUUCCUCUACUA